rnacentral:rRNA from 1 species
UACGGAGGGUGCAAGCGUUGUCCGGAUUCAUUGGGUUUAAAGGGUGCGCAGGCGGGCCAUUAAGUCAGGGGUGAAAGACGGUUGCUCAACAAUCGCAGUGCCCUUGAUACUGGUGGUCUUGGGUUAUCUUGAGGUAGGCGGAAUGGGUGGUGUAGCGGUGAAAUGCAUAGAUACCACCCAGAACUCCGAUUGCGAAGGCAGCCUACUGGGGGUAGACCGACGCUCAGGCACGAAAGCGUGGGGAUCAAACAGG